UAUACCUACAUCUGCAUAGGGGCCAUGUAGGUUUCACUGAAGUUGACAUGCUACUGUUUAGAAUCCAAUUCCAACUACAACCUGAUGUCAAUAUAUGCCUUUGGGAACUAUGGUCAGGUGUAGCUAGUUAGCAAUACAUGUCUCCUGCUACACUUUCCAGUUUGCAACUUGAGAAGCAGCUGUGUUCUGAUCAAAAGCAAAAGUGACCCUCCAGGUUUGUGAUGCUGAUAGCAAUCAAUCAGAGGGAACAGAGGAAAGCUGGUUAAAAAACACAAGCUUGCUCUCUCAUCUUCCUCCCUCACCCUCACCCCUCCUCCUCCUCCUCAGUCAGCACAGCAGCAGGAAGCAGUAAUGGUGAUUGUAUUAACCCCGGGUAGAGAGCGCUGACCUUCGCUUCUGCUCAGCUGGAGUGCACACAGAAGGAGAGGGGGAGAGGGAAACAGAGGAAGCGCACUCUGCAAGGCCUGACGACGAACCUCACAAAGAUGCAUUCUCAAUAAAGCAAAGCAAGGCAAAUAUUUGUUUCCUCAGAAGUGAGCGUGGGCAAACCUUCCUCACAGCUCCAUAUGCUGCCAGCUGCCAAUCAAGUGGGCUGGAACCCUGAAACCAAUCGCAACCCCCUCCUCUCUCCUCUGUCUCCUCUUCUUCUCCUUCAGCAGAAAUGAAAAGAGCUGGUGUGUGUG